UUGUGUGAGCUUGGUGCUUAGUAUUAGUUACUUAAGCUGGUUAGAUUGAGUUUCUCAGAUGCUUGCUUAAGACCGUGACAUAGGUGUGGAUGUGUUGUUUUUAGGUGGUACCGUGGUUGUCAACCUUUGUCCUUGGUGAGCGUAUGAGUUGUUGUUAUGCUUGUUUGCAAAAAUCAUGCCCAAAAAUCCUUGUUUCAAUCUCUCUGUUGCUAUCCUAAAUAUGAUCUGGUGUCAGGUUAAUUCCGCUUUCUAUCGUGGCCUCCUACUCUUUUUCUUGUAAAGCCUGUCAUUGAUUUACCAACUAAAUUUUAGAUUGAUCUUGAUAUGUUAAUCUCUUUGGUGGACAAAGGAUAUGCCUUAAAUUAAAGCAAGAAUCUCAUGUUCAAUUGUCUUCAGCGGUUAAUCAAUGUUUUCUCUC
rnacentral:lncRNA from 1 species